rfam:Mycobacterium xenopi RIVM700367 contig49, whole genome shotgun sequence.
ACAUCAUCGACAACGCGAUGACCAAAAAGCCCCAGGUGGUGCAGAUCGAGCCGACCGACAAGGCGUUCAAGACCGACGGCUGCCAGCCCUGGCAGAAGAACGAUGCGGCA